UGGGGAAUUUUGGACAAUGGGCGCAAGCCUGAUCCAGCAAUGCCGCGUGAGUGAAGAAGGCCUUCGGGUUGUAAAGCUCUUCUGUCAGGGAAGAAACGGCUGGAGCUAAUAUCUCCGGCUAAUGACGGUACCUGAAGAAUAAGCACCGGCUAACUACGUGCCAUCAGCCGCGGUAAUACGUAGGGUGCGAGCGUUAAUCGGAAUUACUGGGCGUAAAGCGUGCGCAGGCGGUUCGUUGUGUCGGUGGUGAAAGCCCCGGGCUUAACCUGGGAAUGGCCAUGGAAACUGGCGAACUGGAGUGUGGCAGAGGGGGGUGGAAUUCCGCGUGUAGCAGUGAAAUGCGUAGAGAUGCGGAGGAACACCGAUGGCGAAGGCAGCCCCCUGGGCUAGCACUGACGCUCAGGCACGAAAGCGUGGGGAGCAAAC
rnacentral:rRNA from 1 species